AGUGAACGCUGGCGGUAGGCCUAACACAUGCAAGUCGAACGGCAGCACAGUAAGAGCUUGCUCUUACGGGUGGCGAGUGGCGGACGGGUGAGGAAUACAUCGGAAUCUACUUUUUCGUGGGGGAUAACGUAGGGAAACUUACGCUAAUACCGCAUACGACCUACGGGUGAAAGCAGGGGAUCUUCGGACCUUGCGCGAUUGAAUGAGCCGAUGUCGGAUUAGCUAGUUGGCGGGGUAAAGGCCCACCAAGGCGACGAUCCGUAGCUGGUCCGAGAGGAUGAUCAGCCACACUGGAACUGAGACACGGUCCAGACUCCUACGGGAGGCAGCAGUGGGGAAUAUUGGACAAUGGGCGCAAGCCUGAUCCAGCCAUACCGCGUGGGUGAAGAAGGCCUUCGGGUUGUAAAGCCCUUUUGUCGGGAAAGAAAAGCAGCAGGUUAAUACCCCGCUGUUCUGACGGUACCCAAAGAAUAAGCACCGGCUAACUUCGUG
rnacentral:rRNA from 1 species